UGUGACUUACUAUUGUAGUUGCUUCGACGGGUGGCUUCAGGCGGAGCCGCCUGCUUCUGUUCGCAGAGGUACCCGUCAGAAGCCCACAAAACUCUUUGUGCUUUAGUGGCAUGUAUGACCAAAAGAAAAUUAAUGAGUCAAAACUUUCAACAACGGAUCUCUUGGUUCUGGCAUCGAUGAAGAACGCAGCGAAAUGCGAUAUGUAAUGUGAAUUGCAGACUUCAGUGAAUCAUCGAAUCUUUGAACGCACAUUGCGCCCGCUAGUAAUCUGGUGGGCAUGCCUGUUCGAGCGUCAUUUCAAACCUCAAGCCCUGCUUGGUGUUGGGUUUCUACGGCUCCUGUAGGCUCCAAAAACCAGUGGCGGGCUCGCUAUAAGUCCGAGCGCAGUACAUGUAUCUCGCUUGGGAAGUGUAGCGGGCUCCAGCCGCAACCCCCCCCCAAACUUACGCCACAAGGUUGACCUCGGAUCAGGUAGGAAUACCCGCUGAACUUAAGCAUAUCAAUA
rnacentral:rRNA from 1 species